rnacentral:rRNA from 1 species
GCAGUCGAGCGACGCAUACCGGAGGGGUAACCCACUGGUAUGACGGAGCGGCGAACGGGUGAGUAACACGUGAGUAACCUGCCCCACAGACCGGGACAGCCCAGGGAAACCUGGAUUAAUACCGGAUACCCUCGGGGGAUCGCAUGAUCUUUCGAGGAAAUGCCUUUGUGCUGUGGGAUGGACUCGCGACUUAUCAGCUAGUUGGUGGGGUAACGGCCUACCAAGGCGUCGACGAGUAGCUGGUCUGAGAGGACGAUCAGCCACACUGGGACUGAGACACGGCCCAGACUCCUACGGGAGGCAGCAGCAGGGAAUCUUGCGCAAUGGGCGAAAGCCUGACGCAGCAACGCCGCGUGGGGGAUGAAGGCCUUCGGGUUGUAAACCCCUUUCAGGAGGGAAGAAAUUGACGGUACCUCCAAAAGAAGCACCGGCCAACUACGUGCCAGCAGCCGCGGUAAUACGUAGGGUGCGAGCGUUAUCCGGAAUCAUUGGGCGUAAAGAGCUCGUAGGCGGUUCAGCAAGUCGGCUGUGAAAUUUCGAGGCUCAACCUCGAAACUGCAGUCGAAACUGCUGUGACUCGAGUCCGGUAGAGGAGAAUGGAAUUCCCGGUGUAGCGGUG